rnacentral:rRNA from 1 species
AUUGAACGCUGGCGGCAGGCCUAACACAUGCAAGUCGAACGAGUGGCGGACGGGUGAGUAAUGUCUGGGAAACUGCCUGAUGGAGGGGGAUAACUACUGGAAACGGUAGCUAAUACCGCAUACCAUCGGAUGUGCCCAGAUGGGAUUAGCUAGUGGGUGGGGUAACGGCUCACCUAGGCGACGAUCCCUAGCUGGUCUGAGAGGAUGACCAGCGACACUCGAACUGAGACACGGUCCAUACUCCUACGGGAGGCAGCAGUGGGGAAUAGUGGACACUGGGCGAAAGCCUGAUGCAUCCAGGCCGCGUGUAUGGAGAAGGCCUUCGGGUUGUAAAGUACUUUCAGCGGGGAGGCGUUACCCGCAGAAGAAGCACCGGCUAACUCCGUGCCAGCAGCCGCGGUAAUUC